rfam:Aspergillus flavus AF70 454, whole genome shotgun sequence.
GUUUCCAUAGUCUAGUGGUUAGGACGGCGGUCUCAUAGCAAUAUGACAGCUCCUAUCUAAAGGGUCUGCAAUCCGCAAGCACGAGUUCGAUUCUCGUUGGAAGCA